rnacentral:rRNA from 1 species
UACGUAGGGUGCAAGCAUUAAUCGGAUUUAUUGGGCGUAAAGGGCGCGCAGGCGGAGAUGCAAGUCAGAUGUGAAAUCCCGGAGCUCAACUCCGGAACAGCAUUUGAAACUACAUCUCUAGAGGGUAGACGGAGAAAACGGAAUUCCACAAGUAGCGGUGAAAUGCGUAGAUAUGUGGAAGAACACCAGUGGCGAAGGCGGUUUUCUAGUUUAUACCUGACGCUGAGGCGCGAAAGCAAGGGGAGCAAACAGG